UACGGGGGGGGUAAGCGUUGUUCGGAAUUACUGGGCGUAAAGGGCUCGUAGGUGGCCAACUAAGUCAGACGUGAAAUCCCUCGGCUUAACUGAGGACGUGCGGAAGAAACUGCAAGGCUCGAGUCCGGGAGAGGAGGGUGGAAUUCCCAGUGUAGCGGUGAAAUGCGUAGAUAUUGGGAGGAACACCUGAGGCGAAGGCGGGUUGCUGGGCCGACACUGACGCUGAGGCGCGAAAGCCAGGGGGAGCGAACGGG
rnacentral:rRNA from 1 species